GUGGGGAAUCUUCCGCAAUGGACGAAAGUCUGACGGAGCAACGCCGCGUGAGUGAAGAAGGUUUUCGGAUCGUAAAGCUCUUUCGUUAGGGACGAACGUGCUCUUUGUGAAUAAUGAGGAGUAAUGACGGUACCUAAAUAAGAAGCCACGGCUAACUACGUGCCAGCAGCCGCGGUAAUACGUAGGUGGCAAGCGUUGUCCGGAAUUAUUGGGCGUAAAGCGCGCGCAGGCGGGAUAUCAAGUCUGUCUUAAAAGUGCGAGGCUCAACCUCGUGAGGGGACAGAAACUGGUAUUCUUGAGUGUCGGAGAGGAAAGUGGAAUUCCAAGUGUAGCGGUGAAAUGCGUAGAGAUUUGGAAGAACACCAGUGGCGAAGGCGACACACUGGCUCAUUACUGACGCUGAGGCGCGAAAGCGUGGGGAGCAAACAGGAUUAGAUACCCUAGUAGUCC
rnacentral:rRNA from 1 species